rnacentral:rRNA from 1 species
AUGUGUUGUCACAGUCCGAGCCUCGUCCCUCCUGGAGCGAGCAAGACGAGGCAGCACCGACGUGGGGGAAAGCGGGGGCGAGACCGGUGGCGUAAGGCUCUCCUGAGAGCGUCUGCGCGCAGCCCGCGGCGAGCCUUGGCGUGCCGGGUUGCGGCCACGCACCGGCUGGAGCUCCAAGGCGCAUGCCCCGUCGUCGCUAGCGGAGCCAGAGCCCGUCAGGACCAAGGGAGCCUCGGCCGGCGCAACGUCGCCCAGGGCGGCCACAAUUUCAGCGCCAUGGCGCCUCCCGCCCGUGCCGCUCGAGCGAUCACGGGACCUCUCCUGGCCAUCUUGCCGCUGACGGUCACGGGCGCCCCUGGACAGGGAGCGACGGAUGCGGUCGCGCCAACCGCCCUGCGCGCGGUGGCCAUCACGGCCGCGGCGGCCGCCGCGGUCGUCGUCGUCGUUGCGCCGCGCCGGGCGCUGGACGUCACUAGCCUGACCAGCACGCCUGUCACCCCGCCGCACCGUGCCGUCCACUAUACGGCGGAACCAGGUGUACUCGUAGAGGUCAGGAGGUGGUGGGUCGACGUCGUUGUCCCGCGCCUUGGAGUGGUCCUCGAGCAGGUCCAGGUGCAGCAGCACACGGUGUCUCAGACCGCGCCGGCCGCGGCGUCGGUGGCCGCGGGCGGGCAGCGUGAGCCACUUCACCUUAGGAAUGGCGUUGGGGUCGGACGUCCACGCCUAGAGCGACAGGUCGCGCGUGUCCUCCCGGCGCAGAGACCGCUGCUCGAUGUAGUCGAGGAGCACCGACGACCGAUGACGAACGAAGUGACGUACUCAUUCCAGGCAUGGACCGGGAUCCCCUCGAUGCACAAACGGACGUGGUACAUCAUGUCUUCAUUGUCAGCAUGCGCCUCAAGCCUCCAGGCGCGGACGAAGAGAGAGGAGUUGCCGACGAGGAAGUCGCCAUGGUUGACGGUGUCCGCGCAAUUGUGCGGGUACAUGAACUUGACGAGGUACUGCUCGGGGAAGUGCCGCACAACACUCACGUCCGCCGGCCGGAAGCCGAAGGUGGAGGCGAACGCAGCGGCCACGGUGUGGCAAGGGACAUCCUCACGGACCCCUUCGAACCAGGCCACGACAGCGUUGGUGGAGAGCAGCGCCGACUCCGCCUGCAUCUCCGGCGUGGCAGGGACCACGACGAAGUCUUCCCCCGGCCGGUUGGCCGCGUCACCCAGCCUUGACAUGGCGGGGUUGGUGUCGCCUGACAGCAGCUGCGGAGGGGGUUGGGGGAGAGGCCAGCCCCGUCCCGGGCCGAAGACGGGAACGAGAUCUUGA